UCUCUCUCUCACUCUCUGCCCCUCCUUCCGGCUCUUUCUCUCCGCAGCACCUUGGAGCCCCUCGACCCGGCGGCGGCGGGGAGCUGAGCGGCGGCGGACGGCCUCGAAGAUGAAGUGCAAGCCGAACCAGACGCGGACCUACGACCCGGAGGGGUUCAAGAAGCGGGCGGCGUGCCUGUGCUUCCGGAGCGAGCGCGAGGACGAGGUGCUGUUAGUGAGUAGCAGUCGGUACCCGGACCGCUGGAUCGUGCCGGGCGGGGGCAUGGAGCCCGAGGAGGAGCCGGGCGGUGCGGCCGUCCGCGAGGUGUUUGAAGAGGCGGGAGUCAAGGGGAAGUUAGGCCGGCUCCUGGGCAUUUUCGAGCAGAACCAAGAUCGCAAGCACAGAACAUACGUGUAUGUACUGACUGUCACUGAGAUUCUGGAGGAUUGGGAAGAUUCGGUUAACAUUGGGAGGAAGCGAGAGUGGUUCAAAGUCGAAGAUGCGAUCAAGGUUCUCCAGUGCCACAAGCCCGUGCAUGCCGAAUAUCUGCAAAAACUAAAGCUGGGCGGUUCCCCAACCAAUGGAAACUCCGUGGCCCCGUCCCUGCCGGAGGGCGAUCCCUAAUAUUUUUGCAGAUAAAAACCCCUUCCAUCUGAAAUGCUGUCACAAAUACUUUGGAGCCUUAACUUGUUAUGCUUAGAGAUGAACAGCAAAGAUGUCCAGGAUUAUUUGAAAGAAUCAUUGAUGUGAGCCAUUAAUAAAUGGAAUUGUCAAGUAUAGGUGAGCACUUCCAUGCUUCCAAGGAGACAGCUCAUCUGGUUUUCUUCCUGCAUCUUGAGACACUCCUUCCCUGUCUGUUUUGCUGACUUCUCUUGCCCUGGUGAUUGUACUUUGUACAUGAACAGACUUAUUCAGCACCUGUAGCAUUUUGUUGUGCUUUUUUUUUUUGAUAUGUCUGCCUUCUUUAUUAGACUGAAAGCAAAAACCACGUCUCCUUAUUCUUUGCAUAUUCUGCACCUGAGACACUACUUGAAAUAUGGCUGACAUCACUGAAGGUUCUUUGAUUCAAUUAAUAUUUUAUAAUCACUACGUAUAAUUAUAAUGGCAAAACAUUCCCCUUCCAAUCUGGUGCUAUACGCUCUCCAGGCACCACGUGUGUGGCUUUUCUGAAUAAGACAUUUUGGAAACUUUUCAAGGCAGUUGUAGGAUAUUCAAGGACAAGAAUUACUACUCCUAUUGCUAUGUCAUACCACGCAAUGGCUAGCACAGUUUUAACAUCACUUAGGGCAACAUUUUAUAGAAUCAGUCCUUUGUGUAACAACUUCAGUGUUUUUGUACUGUUGUUAAUUUGCUUAAAAUUUUAUUCAAGAAUACCACUUGCUGUAAAACUAAUUAUAAAAAUAAAUACAAUGAACAUAAUAAGAUGAUGUGCUUUUUAUAAAAAUUUUACUAUAUACAAAUAAUAAAGUUAAUGUUUUUGCACUGCCCUAACCACUUCUUUCAUGUAAUCCUAACAUUUCUUUGAAGAAAAGAUUGUUUUUCUAAUUUUACAGAUUCAGUAUCCUGUAUUAUUUGAUGUCAGCAGCAACAAAAACUGCUACAGACAGUUUCCAAAGUUAAUCAUGCCACUUAAUUUGCCUAGGUUUCUUUAUUAUCUCUUACUGAUUCAGUUGGCCACAGUUUUCAUCCCCUUUUCCAAUACACUCAGCUAGAUCCUCAUCCCACCUGGAUUCUGUAUGUGAGAAUGCAGAGGACUGAAAGACAGCUACAUUGUUGUCACCUGGAAAAUUCAAGGUGAGGGGAACUUCUAGGAGGGUGCUGAAAAUUAAAAGAUUUAGAGAGGACUUGGGUCAGCUACCUCCAAGAGAGCAACUUUAAGAAAAUGACAGAGAUGUUUAGAGGAAAUUUUAUGGAGUUCUGCCAUGGAGUUUGUGAUGUCAGCACUCUUCCCCAUCUCCCUACAGAGGCCCUAGAGUGGCCUUAAUAUGGUAAUUUUCUUUCUUUUGCAUUGUAAAGCAGGAACAUUAGAAAAAAGCUUGGGCUCCAUUUGAGUGUUACACCCUUCCACAUGGUACCAGUGAAAUGUAUUGAUUAUUCCCCCAAUUUUUGUAGAAUUAGAAAUAAAAACACAACUCCCUGGUGUAUUGGGAUUUUUUUUAGGUAUGAUAUGGUACUGUGGUUAUGUUUUUUAAAUCCUUAUCUUUUAGGGAAAUAUACUGUUAAGUUUAACAGAUGAAAAGAUAUGCUACUGAUAUUCGCUUAGAUGGGGUGAGUGAGCAUACAGAUGAAAUUGGCAAUAAAUUGAUAAUUAUUGAAGUUGUGUGAUGGAUAUUUGGGAGUUCGUUAUACUAUUCUCUAUACUUUUGUAUAUGUUUGAGAUUUUUCAGAAU